rnacentral:rRNA from 1 species
GAUGAACGCUAGCGGCAGGCCUAAUACAUGCAAGACGAACGGUAAGAAUUGUAGCAAUAUGAUUCCAAGAGUGUCGUACGGGUGCGUAACACGUAUGCAACCUACCUUGUACAGGAGUAUAGCUCGGGGAAACUCGAAUUAACCCUCCAUAAUAUGUCGGUGUGGCAUCACAUUGACAUUAAAACUACGGUGGUACAAGAUGGGCAUGCGUUUGAUUAGCUAGUUGGCGGGGUAAUGGCCCACCAAGGCGAUGAUCAAUAGGGGAACUGAGAGGUUGAUCCCCCACACUGGCACUGAGAUACGGGCCAGACUCCUACGGGAGGCAGCAGUAGGGAAUAUUGGUCAAUGGAUGGAAGUCUGAACCAGCCAUGCCGCGUGCAGGAAGAAGGCCUUUCUGGGGUUUGUAAACUUGCUUUUGCCAGGGGAUAAAAAUUCUUUGCGAAGAAAAUUGAAGGUACCUGGUGAAUAAGCACCGGCUAACUACGUGCCAGCAGCCGCGGUAAU